AACGAACGCUGGCGGCAGGCUUAACACAUGCAAGUCGAACGGGCACCUUCGGGUGUCAGUGGCAGACGGGUGAGUAACGCGUGGGAACGUACCUUUCGGUUCGGAAUAACCCAGGGAAACUUGGGCUAAUACCGGAUACGCCGGUAACGGGAAAGAUUUAUCGCCGAAAGAUCGGCCCGCGUCGGAUUAGCUAGUUGGUGGGGUAACGGCCUACCAAGGCGACGAUCCGUAGCUGGUCUGAGAGGAUGAUCAGCCACACUGGGACUGAGACACGGCCCAGACUCCUACGGGAGGCAGCAGUGGGGAAUAUUGGACAAUGGGCGCAAGCCUGAUCCAGCCAUGCCGCGUGAGUGAAGAAGGCCUUAGGGUUGUAAAGCUCUUUCGUUGGGAAGAUAAUGACGGUACCC
rnacentral:rRNA from 1 species